rnacentral:rRNA from 1 species
AUACGGAGGAUCCGAGCGUUAUCCGGAUUUAUUGGGUUUAAAGGGUGCGCAGGCGGCCAUUUAAGUCAGCGGUUAAAUCGUGGGGCUCAACCCCAUUCUGCCGUUGAUACUGGGUGGCUUGAUUGCGGUCGAGGUUGGCGGAAUUCGUUGUGUAGCGGUGAAAUGCAUAGAUAUGACGAAGAACACCGAUUGCGUAGGCAGCUGACCAGACCGCAAAUGACUCUCAUGCACGAAAGUGCGGGGAUCGAACAGGAUUAGAUACCCUGGUAGUCCGCACAGUAAACGAUGAAUACGUGUUUUCGGCGAUAUAAUGUCGGAGGCAAAGCGAAAGCGAUAAGUAUUCCACCUGGGGAGUACGCCGGCAACGGUGAAACUCAAAUGAAUUGACGGGG